GAUGAACGCUGGCGGCGUGCCUAAUACAUGCAAGUCGAGCGAACGGACGAGAAGCUUGCUUCUCUGAUGUUAGCGGCGGACGGGUGAGUAACACGUGGAUAACCUACCUAUAAGACUGGGAUAACUUCGGGAAACCGGAGCUAAUACCGGAUAAUAUUUUGAACCGCAUGGUUCAAAAGUGAAAGACGGUCUUGCUGUCACUUAUAGAUGGAUCCGCGCUGCAUUAGCUAGUUGGUAAGGUAACGGCUUACCAAGGCAACGAUGCAUAGCCGACCUGAGAGGGGGGUCGGCCCACCUGGAACCGGGACACGGUCCAGACUCCUACGGGAGGCAGCAGUAGGGGAUCUUCCGCAAUGGGCGAAAGCCUGACGGAGCAACGGCGCGUGAGGGAUGAAGGUCUUCGGAUCGUAAAACUCUGUUAUUAGGGAAGAACAUAUGUGUAAGUAACUGUGCACAUCUUGACGGUACCUAAUCAGAAAGCCACGGCUAACUACGUG
rnacentral:rRNA from 1 species